UUAUGGACCCACCUGAUCCCAUGCCGAACUCAGAAGUGAAACGUAAUAGCGCCGAUGGUAGUGUGGGGCUUCCCCAUGUGAGAGUAGGACAUCGCCAGGC
rnacentral:rRNA from 1 species